CGUACCUGCGUGUAGCAGGCUCCUGCCUCCAGUGCAGCGGAGACGUGCUCCUUGGGGGGGGGGGAAGGCAGAAAGGGAGGAGAGAGCACCCUGCGACAAAGAAACAAAACACACGUGUUAAUUUCCAAACAUCGUGGCUUUUUUUCCUCCCACGAUUUCCCCUCCUGAUGGCUGGUGCGCGCGUGGGCAGCUGACGCAGCCCCGGGACCGUGCACCGGGAGCGGCUGAGGCCACACAGCCGCCGAAAUGAGCGAGCCUCGUUGUGCUCAGCAGCUGAGCUCUGCUGCCUGCUCUGCGGCUGCGGUUCCCUCAGCGAAGGCUUUGAGGUUCUCCGACUCGUGUUAGGCGAUGCAUUCCUGCACCAUUCGCAUCGAAUGGGGAGGCUUGACGCGGAAAAAAAGCAAAAAAAAAAAAAACACCAAACAAUAAACUUCAAACCUUUGCAGCCCUUCCUCCCCUCAGCGCUCCCCUUCCUUCCCCUCGCCGGUCCCUCACGGACCGCGCUCUCCGCGCCCACCCCGCCGCUUUCUCCACAGCCUAAACUGAAACAAAACGCAAAGCCCUCGAAGCCGGGACCAGCAAGGAGGGCUCAGCACCCGUCCCUGCGGGGCUCGGAGCCCGAUGGUGCCCGGCAGGACGGCGAGGGGCCGAGCCGCCGCCUCAUGGCGGUUGGCGAAGCCGCCCUCAGGGCGCAGGCACCGGGAGGGGGGCGUUUGAGCGGCUGUUGGCGGCGGCUCCUCGGUAGGCCUUGCGGGGUUGGAGCUGCCCAAAAACACAAGCUAGCCCUAGGUUGUUAGGUUUACUUGAUAGAAAUUUCUGUAAAUUGUAUUUUAUAUGACAAAAUAUAUCACUGUACAUUAAAAUAUGGGACUUCACAGGUUUUUGUUACUAUAAGUAGAAUAAACAUCUACAGUGAAACGUUGUCCAUUUCUUAAA